AACAGGAUUAGAUACCCUGGUAGUCCAUGCCGUAAACGAUGUCUACUAGCCGUUGGGGCCUUUGAGGCUUUAGUGGCGCAGCUAACGCGAUAAGUAGACCGCCUGGGGAGUACGGUCGCAAGACUAAAACUCAAAUGAAUUGACGGGGGCCCGCACAAGCGGUGGAGCAUGUGGUUUAAUUCGAUGCAACGCGAAGAACCUUACCUGGCCUUGACAUACUAGAAACUUUCCAGAGAUGGAUUGGUGCCUUCGGGAAUCUAGAUACAGGUGCUGCAUGGCUGUCGUCAGCUCGUGUCGUGAGAUGUUGGGUUAAGUCCCGCAACGAGCGCAACCCUUUUCCUUACUUGCCAGCAUUUCGGAUGGGAACUUUAAGGAUACUGCCAGUGACAAACUGGAGGAAGGCGGGGACGACGUCAAGUCAUCAUGGCCCUUACGGCCAGGGCUACACACGUGCUACAAUGGUCGGUACAAAGGGUUGCUACACAGCGAUGUGAUGCUAAUCUCAAAAAGCCGAUCGUAGUCCGGAUUGGAGUCUGCAACUCGACUCCACGAAGUCGGAAUCGCUAGUAAUCGCGGAUCAGAAUGCCGCGGUGAAUACGUUCCCGGGCCUUGUACACACCGCCCGUCACACCAUGGGAGUUUGUUGCACCAGAAGUAGGUAGUCUAACCGCAAGGAGGGCGAUUACCACGGCAGGGUUCGUGACUGGGGUGAAGUCGUAACAAGGUAACC
rnacentral:rRNA from 1 species